rnacentral:snRNA from 1 species
GUGCUCACUUCGGCAGCACAUAUACUAAAACUGGAACGACACAGAGAAGAUUAGCAUGGCCCCUGCGCAAGGAUGACACACACAUUUGUGAAGCCUUCCAUAUUUUU